rnacentral:rRNA from 1 species
CGCGGCCUAUCAGCUUGUUGGUGGGGUAACGGCUCACCAAGGCGACGACGGGUAGCUGGUCUGAGAGGACGGCCAGCCACACUGGGACUGAGACACGGCCCAGACUCCUACGGGAGGCAGCAGUGGGGGAUAUUGCGCUAAUGCGCGAAAGCGUGACGCAGCGACGCCGCGUGGGGGAUGAAGGCCCUCGGGUCGUAAACCCCUUUCGCCAGGGACGAAGGGAAACUGACGGUACCUGGAGAAGAAGUCCCGGCUAACUACGUGCCAGCAGCCGCGGUAACACGUAGGGGACGAGCGUUGUCCGGAAUCAUUGGGCGUAAAGCGCGCGUAGGCGGCCCGGAGAGUCGGUUGUGAAAUCCUGGGGCUCAACCCCAGGACUGCGUCCGAUACUUCCGGGCUGGAGGCAGGUAGGGGAGAUCGGAAUUCCUGGUGUAGCGGUGAAAUGCGCAGAUAUCAGGAGGAACACCGGUGGCGAAGGCGGAUCUCUGGGCCUUGCCUGACGCUGAGGCGCGAAAGCUAGGGGAGCGAACAGGAUUAGAUACCCUGGUAGUCCUAGCCGUAAACGUUGGGUGCUAGGUGUGGGCGGACAUCGACCCCGUCCGUGCCGAAGCUAACGCAUUAAGCACCCCGCCUGGGGAGUACGG